UACAGAGGGUGCGAGCGUUAAUCGGAAUUACUGGGCGUAAAGCGUGCGUAGACGGUAAUGUAAGUCGGGCGUGAAAGCCCCGGGCUCAACCUGGGAAUUGCAUUCGAGACUGCAUUGCUUGGGUGCGGAAGAGGGAAGCGGAAUUUCCGGUGUAGCGGUGAAAUGCGUAGAUAUCGGAAGGAACACCAGUGGCGAAGGCGAGUCCCUGGACAGGUCCUGACGCUGAGGCACGAAAGCUAGGGGAGCAAACAGG
rnacentral:rRNA from 1 species